rnacentral:rRNA from 1 species
AUGAAGCUUCUUGAGUACCUACAGAAAAUCAGGACCGGGAGGAUGUUUGGGCCUGUAGUUGCUGGUACUAUACCCAGUGCCUUCACUCCCCUAUUAAACAUUUUCUUAGCCAUGUAUGUUAAUUUUACCGCUUUUCAUUUAACUUCCUAUUUUUCAGUUAUCCACACAGUGGAGUUUCAGAAGAGGGAGCUGCCACAUGCGCGUAUCCUUGUUUGGCAAAAGAAGCAUCAUGACCGGGUGGUCACACCAACUUUCAUAAAUUCCUUUGUUUCAAUCGCUGUUAGUAUUUCUAUUGGAUCUAGCUCCCUCUUUAUCUUUGUUGGUUUCCUCUUGCAUGGUUCCCAAUAA